rnacentral:misc_RNA from 1 species
CCCCAUGAAGCUCCCACUAGGGGGCAACCGCAAACAACUGAGUUGUACUCACAUACAACGGGAGUUCACCCGAAGUAAUUUUGGAUGGCAACGCACUGCUCAUCGAUAAUCUCAGGUAACUGAUAUCUGCCGUUCGAUCAACAAGAUAGCUCUCCCAUUGUCGAACGAUAGUUGGAUCAUACCGGCGGCCGAUGCUGAUCCCAGGGGAUCGCAGUUCUCCAACCCCGCGAGAAGUGGUAGAUGCAAUAUGCAAACGAACGUAAGUAACCAUCACAUGGCGAUCCCUUUCAAGGACGAUGUCAGCGUCUCUCUUGUUACGCACAUCCAAUAGACAAAUUCUAAACCUACUGCUGAUGGCGAAGUGGUCGAUGUGAUUGCUCAUAGUUGAAAACCAACUGACCUUAUGGCAGGCUCUGUGCUCGAACAAUGUACCACCAAUUACGAGGCGGUCGAAGUUGCAGAAAUCCACGAACCUCCCACCAUUAUCGUUACGGUCACUAAUACCAUGUUUUCCCAUGAUAUGUCCGAGCAAGGUGUUGCCAGAGCCCACUUUGGCAUUUAGAUUACCCACCACAAUUACAAUGUCCCCGUUAGGAAGCCUUGCCUGAACUACGUGCAAUGACUGAUGGAAAAUAACCUUCUCGACUAUAUCGGAAGUCUCCGUUAGUGCGUAGCAUUGUACAAUUGUGAUGCUCCUUAAUCUGCCGCAAGAGGAAAAGGAGUACUCUCCAGAGUCCCGUCAUCUUACUUCGCUUAGAAUGUCCAGCUUAUAUCGAUGGAAAUCCCGCUCAAGUUGGAGAAAGCCAGCAUUCUAAGGACCCUCACUAACGUUAUUGCAAAGCGUGCGCACAUUCAACCAACCAAUCAUAGUUCGAUAGCCAAAUGUCAUAGUCGCGAAGUCAGUGCCUAUCCGCGGCGUUGUUGGUGUUUCGAUAGCAAUAAAGCUUCAAAAGUUACUAGUGCCCACAAAUUUCUAUCCCUUUUAGUCCACUCUUCCGACAGCAGGGAAGACUUUGAGUGUAUUCUUAAGCCCCAACUCAUCGGGCUAAAAUGAAAUGAAAAUGUAAUUGCAAUUUUGCUUUUAGAGGAUUCAAGACCUUAUUACUUAAAUUCUGUGUUUAUAAAUAGCGAAAUAAUGGUGAAGACAUUCUUAAUGACCAUACUGUAUAUUCCACGUUAUCAUUAAGUUCUUUUAUAUUAUCUUAACAUAGUCCAUCGCAUUGGGUGGAUUAAAAGGUGGUUCCUAGGAUAUGAACAGCUGUUGGCGGGGCUUUGAAAUUUGUUAGGUAUUUUCAUUUUCACAAGGAAAGAAAUUUUGAUAACUGUCACACUGUUUGGUUAGCUAGGUAUAAUCCGAAACUAUUUGCGUAUUUUUCAAUAAUAAUCAGUUUAAAUAUACGUUUGGUUAGAUUUGGUUUGUUGGAAAAAUGUGUUUUGCGUUUGCAGCAAAUUUCAGAAAGCUGUAUGAAAACGAGUCGUUUCUAAAUUCUAAUGAGAUAGAUAGGAGCGUUGAUCCUUUACGCCAGUUCCAUUAUCAAACACAUCAGCCGUCACACCAAAAUCUAUCAGUGGUACAGCAACGAAGUGUUACAGAAACGCCACAAGAUUUCCAUAAGACUAGUUUACCAACGACUGGAAAUAUACCAGGCGCCUUACUUAGUUCUAGCAAAUUAGAUGUACGUCAGAAAAAUAAAUACAAUCAAACAAAUCACGAUCGGCGGAAAUAUUUGCAUCAGAAACAAUCACCACACCAAGAGCAACCACUUCAUCAACUGCAACAAGAGCAGUUGGCUUACCAAAAGCAUCAGCAAAUUGUGAUAGGUCAAACCAACAUUACCUCAUACGAUCGAUACACAAGUAAUGAGACUUCGCAUAAUCCUUACUGGGAUGAUUCGACCUCAUCCGCACAAGAUAAUCGAAGGUUUACGGAACGUAGAAAGAAAACGGUGAGGUUUGAUGGUCACGAUGAACCGGUCGAUUGGUCCCGAUGGGAGUCCGAGCGGCAAGGAAGUCAAGAUUCCGCAACGAAGGAUUCUGGAAUAGAUACGAGUAGUACGUUCACAAGUAGCGAAGAUUCAAACCGAGGUGAUGGCCCAAAGAAUCCUGUGAAUUGGCAAGUGUCAGCUGAUAAUACUCGCAUGAUUGGUCACAUGAUACUGCGUAAAAGCAGCGACAGCGAAGAUAUUCUAGGGCUUAAGAUUGUUGGAGGUCAGCCGUUACAAUAUAGUAAUAACGGUAAUAGUGGAUGUGGUGCCAUCGUCGAAAAAGUAAAACAUGGCUCUGUAGCCGAUACCGAAGGACUUAUACAAGCAGGCGAUGAAAUUAUUGAAUGGAAUGGUCGAACAUUGCAUAAUAAGUCAGCCCAGGAAGUAAAUGAUGUAAUCUCGGAAAGUAAGCAUGAACCUCAAGUUGAAUUGAUUGUGUCAAGGUUGAUACCCACGAAUCAUCGGAUAGCAUAUAAAUAUCGACGGCUUUUACAUUCACCGAUCCAUGGUAGGAAUGCAGGUGAUUCAAUUGAAAUACGUCGAGAUAAACCUAGCGUCCUAAUAACAUCACCGGGGUCUCCAGAUUUACAUGCAGCUAAUCGCCAAACAUCGAGUGCAAUUGCAUCGCGCUAUCCACAGCGUCUACAGGCGACAGUGGGUCAUCCACAAGGAUCAUAUUCUGAACCGAACAUUGACGGUCGUGUUCAAGUUAAAUUGGGCUAUGAUGCUAAUACUUUACAGUUGAUUGUGACUAUUGUUUGCGCUACAGGAUUGACUCUAAGGUCUAAUGGUGCUGCCAGAAAUCCAUAUGCAAAAGUGUUCCUUUUACCUGAUCGUGGAAAUAAAUCUAAACGAAGAACGAAAACUUUAGCUAGUACAUGUGAACCACGUUGGGGUCAAACUUUUAUUUACUCGGGAUUAAGAAGAGCAGACUUAGUUAACCGAUUGCUAGAGAUUACAGCUUGGGACUAUGUUCGAUAUGGUGCCAAUGACUUUCUUGGUGAAGUGUUGAUUGAUUUAGGAUCACAUAUCCUAGACGAUGAACCUGAGUGGUAUAACCUCCAGCCGCAUCAAGACUCGCCAAGUCAUACAUUACGCCGCGAUGACUUUAGUGAAAUGGAGAUGAUUUUAACGCCAACAGAUCAUUUGUCACCCCCUAGUACAACUUCGCGUUUGAGUGAUUCGGAUACUACUUCAGAAUGUGAUAUCGAUGGUAUACCCACUGGUCGUGAUGGGGCGAGUAUAUCUUCACUAGGAAGUUCUUCAAGUCCUCCUCCAGAGAUUGAAAUUAAAGAACGACGCUCACGUCGUGAUAUGUCACCACAGGGACGCAAAAGGGUUGCGGGUAUGGUAGCACGGGAUUACCGAACAGUAUCGGGCAUUGGACAAAGUUAUCACAAUCAAAAUUCUUCCAUGUAUUCAUCAUCGCGUAGAAAUGGUGGUAAUAAUUGCGGAAUGAGUUUGAGCCAAAGAAGUCAUUCCGCUGCACCUAGCGACGGUUAUUAUCAUAAUCAUCAUAGUUAUCACCACCACCAUCGAAACAAUAGUCCAAGGCGUGGUUCCUUAUCACCACCCGAUGACCGUUGUAAUGAUUAUCCAGUUCUUCCAACACAUUCAGCUUCGUCAUACUCACCACGUUUUCAGUCACGAUCAGCAACUGCCACACCAACGGGAUCACCAAAGAAGAGACAACUGCCACAGGUACCGCAAACAUCACGAAGUGCAAUGAUUCGUGACCGACUCAAUCACGAGUUUGAUGAACGAAAUUCAACAACAGAUCGAUUCGGUCGUCAUCGUUCAAGACAAGUAUACCAUCAAGCAACUUAUCGAAGCACCGGUAUGGGUGGUUGGGAACGACAUUAUACUGGUUUAUCUGAUAGUGAUCUACAUGCUAUGGAGUCAAGGUUGCGUCCAAGACACUCAUUAUCACCUGAUAAGGAUUUCAUGGGAGAUUUCGGCGACUCUGACAUGGAAUCAGUAGUUAGUGUAACCUCAAGUGCUUUCUCUACUCAAUCAGAACGACCACGAGGAUCGCACGGAUUGAGAAGAAAUCGUCAUCGAAAAUGGCCAUCUCUGUAUUGCCACCCUUCAAAACAAACCGGUAUUGAAUACCUACAACAAAAUAAGCCUCGAAGUUUUGAAUAUAUUGACCCGUUCCUUGAGGCAACGCAAAACUCGCCAUAUUCAUCGUCGAGAACAAUCUUCGAGCCUAUACCACAGUUCAACGAUAAAACAGUGCCAUCGGCAAAUCUCAUACCAGAUUACAUUUAUAGUUUUUCUCGCAACAUAAUACCUAAUAUAUUCGCUAGAAGUGAUUUUAGUACCUUUCCUGGCAAAUUGUUUCACAGGAAUUCUGUAGAAUACGCACUACCACGGUUCAAUUUGGAAACAUUAAAACGUUUAAAGAAUCCUGUAGUAAACUUUUUUCGAGGUGAACCUUAUAUAGCUCCAAAUAAUAAACAUCCUUUUGAUUUACCACAACAAUUUCGUAGCGAAAGUACAGAAAAUAAAUCUAAUUUCAUGCGCUUGUUGGGACAGUCAGUGCCAGUAGAUUCACGAAAGCCCUCACUAUCGUUGUAUUUCCCAGUUUCUGAGCCAACUUUACCCUCAUUAAGUAUGAUUGGUGAUUAUUGCGAUACUACUUUGCCUUGCUUCAACAUUUCUGCAGGAAAUGAACGUUACCUAAAUGCUUUGGACUUACAGUUUCCGCAGUGCUAUGUUAUUAAUUCAGAUAAUAAUAUACUACAGUGUCCAAAACAGGAACGUCCACUAAGCAGUAAAAAGAGUACUAAGAAGCCUUUCCAACGUCGAUCGAUUCUGAAGAAAAGACGAGAGGAACGGCCGAUUUCCAUGUCUAGGUCCUUAGAGUAUGACGAUAUGCCUGUCUACCGGGGAAAGACCAGUUCGCUAUCGACAAAUGAAGAUGAUAAAUUUGCUUUAUAUAGUUCAAUCAUAAAUCCACCAAGAAAGUUUAAAUCAGAGUCAAACAUUCGUCAAACCUACUUUGGUGCUGCUAUCGAUGAGGAACAUCCUCUAAGCCAUUCGCACUCAUUGAUAACCGAUGAUAAAAUUAUAAAUAUUGUGUAUGAUUCAGAUGUUGGAUGGAAACGGAAAUCUGUUUACACUAAUAUUUUUCGAAGCAUGAAAGAAAAAUCAAAUGGAGAGAUUAGAGCUGAAAGUAGAAAAAAAUUAGUCGACCGCAACAGUCUAUCUUUGGAUUUAUCGAGUUCAUACAGUUACAAUAAAAAGAAAAAGAAUGCUGUUGAAUUAGAGAGAAGUGAAAGCGAACCUAAGGCUAACGUGCCUAAGUCCUCUGAAGGAAAUCAAUUGCAUUUACGAAUGAAGGACAAACGAUCUCCUGCGAACAAAGAAACAUAUCUUAACAGAAGCAGAAGUUCAAGUAUGCGAAUCGAAAAGUCUGUUAAUAAUGAUGAAAAAAAAUCGAUUUCGAUAACUCAAGUUGUUGGAUUAGUGCACCAUAAAGAACCACCGAAAACUGCCAAAUGUCUACGCACACAGCAAAAGUACAAAAAUAAGCUAAAACGACGAGAUUCACACCAAAAAGACAUAGAUGAACCUGAAACUGAGGUUUCAGAUGAACUUAUUGAUUUUUCUCCACACCCAAGUCCCUGCAGCCAUUAUAAUAAGAGCGGUAAUCUACAAGAAGGAAAGUUGGCAUAUGAAAAAUACGGUCAUCAUAUUCGAACUGGUACCAGUGUUUCGUGUCUCCCUGAGAAAAACUGCAAAUUUAACGUCCGGGACAGUACCGAUGAGGUUUGCCAUAGUUUCUCACUUGAUACGAGUAAUUAUAAAAAUUGCACCAAUCAUGAUGAUCAUUCGAACCGCCGUGAUCCUCUAAUGAAUGUAAACUCUAACUCUGAUAUUUAUGAAGAAAGAAAAAGGUCAACAAUAGUUUAUCACGGCAACUAUUCAAAAAAUAAUGAUAAACAUUUUAGUUAUGAUAGUCCACUAUGUAGUAAUGCUAACUUUGCUUCUUCUUCCUCUUUUGCAAAUUCCCAACAAUAUCAUCACAAUCAAAAUCAAACUCAUGAUCAUGAAAACGAUGUUAACAAUCACUUAAUCGAAAAUAAUGAUUACGAAACUUCAUCACACGCACGGUAUAUACGGCGAGAAAUCAGUGAGUAUGAUAUUCGAGACCGUGUUGUGAAGGUACCGUCGAACGAUGGUAGCUCUGGCCGUGGGGAUAGUCGUGAGCGUAAUAGAGAUCGAGAACGAGAUCGCGAACGGCAUUUACAAGAUCGGAUGGAUCGGAUUGAAAUGGCAAGCGAUCGUGAUGAGCAAAAUUCAUUCAGCAGAAGUAUGUCGAAUGCAGAUUGCACACCAGAAGAAAAAAUUGAUGGCAGUUUAUCAGAUACUGCGGUAGGUGUUCAGAAUACGGAGACAGGAAAACGGAAACCGGAACAACGUUCGCCAAAGAGUGAAAGCAGUUGUCGGGAUCGAGAACGAGAUCGUUUUGGAGUUGGAAUGGGUAAAAAAAGUAACUCAACCUCACAACUAUCAGCAACAGACCAAGCUCAAGGGUGCGGUAUGCAACAUCAUCGAGGACGUGGUUCCUCUGGAAGCAUUCAACGGUCCGUUGAAGUGGCACCGGCGUCAUCAUCGCAAUGUAGUGCAUAUCGUGCCGGAAGUCUUCACUCGAUAUCAACGAGUUCUGAGGGCUCAUCGUGGUCUCCUUCACUACGAAUGAAUGAUGGACAACUAUCUGAUUUCAUCGAUGGUCUCGGACCAGGCCAAUUGGUAGGACGGCAAGUUCUUGGUGCGCCAUCCUUGGGUGAUAUACAAUUAUCUAUGUGCCAUCAAAAAGGAUAUCUUGAAGUAGAAGUGAUAAGGGCACGAGGGCUGCAGGCGAAACCAGGAUCGAAGGCGUUGCCAGCACCAUAUGUAAAAGUAUAUUUGGUUUCUGGAAAAAAGUGCAUCGAUAAAGCCAAAACAACGACCGCUCGCAGAACAUUAGAUCCUUUAUAUCAGCAACAACUAGCAUUUAGGGAACCAUUUAAUGGAUGUGUGCUCCAAGUCACCGUUUGGGGAGAUUAUGGACGAAUGGAAAAGAAAGUGUUUAUGGGCGUAGCGCAAAUUAUGCUUGAUGAUCUAAAUUUAUCAAACAUCGUUAUUGGCUGGUACAAGCUGUUCGGAACAACAUCACUGGUCAGUGGUCCUCCCCGAUUGGGUCUAUCUAGGCUUUCCUCAGUAGCCUCACUCGACUCACUCAAACUUUGAAUUCACUAAUUUAAACCCUAAUUUUGUUUUACUUUUAACACCUAUUUACAUAUUUGCUAGACUCUUUUCAAUCCAAAAAAUAGUGUAUGCUUUUGUAACUUGUGUAUAUGGGACGAUAGAUAAAAGGCUUGAAAAUGAAACCUUACGGUUAUCACUGAAAGCAAUAAAUAACAAAGUUUCAAAUGCAAACCUGAGGAAUCAUAGAGAGUUUCAGAUAGAGAAUAAUCUGUCAGUUUAUAUAAGUAAUUUUAUGACAUUUUAAAAAGUAUCCCUUCGUAUACAUUUCGAGUUACUGCAUAAUUGAAUCAUAUAUGCUUUACAGUUGAAAUGUUGCAUGCGUAAGCAAAGGUGAGUGUACAUUAAUUUUCAAUUAUGUCAUUCAAUUGAGAAAUUAUCAUUUUUACUUGCUAUGAGCUGUAGCUAUAAAUGCUGUUCUGAUAAAUAAAAAUUACAUCAAUCUACUUCCAGUGGAAAAUAAUAUAGUUAUAUCUGACUAUUAAAGACUACCAUAAUAUACAAGAAAUUCUCAGAAUGUACACUUACUCUUGGAGUUUUCAGAAGCAUAUUGAUAUGAUAAUGUUAUAUUAUAUGCAUUUGAGCAAAGCAACGCAUUUUUUACGGUGAAAUCCGUGAUUAUACCAUUGAAAUUUGUAAAUUAUUAUGUACUUUCUUGCAGACGCAUAAAUAUGUUAGUUCGUUAUUACUGCAAUGAUUUUCGUGAGAACUUUCUUGUUUGUCGCAUGUUUUUGCAAUGCUGUUAGUUUUAAAUGGAAGAAAAAAACUAGCUAUUAUCGGUUCUACAACAGGCGACAUUUCUCGAAUUUAUUUUAAAUAGAAAUUUCUUUUACCCCGAUCGAUAACACACUUUUUAUUAAUCAGAAAUUGAAGAAUAUUCCAAAUGUCUGUAGCAAGUCCCAUAGGUAAUAUAUUAAUUUAUUCCUAACGUAUACACUUUGCGUGAAAUGUCCUCAAAAUUCUGCUUGGUCUUGUAUUUCAUUAUGCAUAAAAGUGUUUCACUAUAAUAUUCACACAGAACAAGGUUCACCGAUCAUCACUCCCGAAAUAUAUUUAGUAAAAAACGGUAUAUGCUAUAAUGACAUGAUAUGGAACAGAACUUCCGGAUUCAAUGCUGUAUGAAAUAUAUCAUACUAUCCUUCAGUACUUGAGAUAUUCACUAGGAAUGAUGUCUUCUGAAAUGCAAAAUUGACAUUUAGAAAUACUAAGAUUGUGAGCAGAUGGAAUGAAAAUUCGACAGAUGUCUGAGUUAGAUAAAUAUGAAAUUAAUUUUUUAAUUGGAGAUUGCUAAUUGCAUUAUAAAAACUAUAGUAGUAAAUGACAACAAUAGAAUCUUGUAAAUAUCCUUCUUUACUACUAGUAUACAAAUGAAAACAAAUUCAGAAUAAUGGGAAAAUUAUGUGAGACAAUUGUAUAAAAAAUAAACUCCAUUUGCAAGAAAUGAAAAUGUAUAUAAUAAAGCGGUAAAAAUCCAUCAUAGUUUAUUUAUCUGUCUACUUAUUAAAAAGAAUAUAUCUAAGUUGAGUUGAAAGCAGCAAUAAAGUGUUGCGCACGCGUUGCAGCGUUUUACGUUUUUAACAAGGAGAUAAAAGUUUCCAAUCCACUUCAAAAAUGAAGCAGUUCACAAUAUAUCAAUAUAUUUUGAAGUUACUAGGUGCAGCAAUUUUUCAAAAGUGCCAAAUAUCAGUAAAGUCAAAGUGCAAGAAUUACGUAAUUUGGUGUAGUAAGCUAAUAUUCGGAAUAUUGGUUUUAUCCCGUGUCAAUGACAAAUGAGUUAAAGCAUGUAAAAAGUGUACGGGGCGACUUACGAUAAAUUAAUUCACUUUCUAUUUCUUUUUCCUUUUUUGGAAUUGUGCCAGUCUCAUUCUGUGAGAGAUAUUCUAAAGCAAAUGAAAAAUAUACCGGCGUUUUAGGACUUUAUAUUCUACAGUCAAAUCCAAUUCAAUUCGCUGACGCUCGUUUGGAUAUGGAUGUGGAUACAUUUGACAUUAGGAUUCAGUCAAUAACUUUUUUCUGCGUUCAUGCCAUGAACUUUAUGUUUCAUUCACAUACGAAUUGCAAGUGUUUCUGUGCCGUUACGUCACAAUUAAGAUCUUUCGCAAUAUAUAGAAAACUAAAUGGAAAAUAAAGAAAAUCAGAUAACAAAAAAUUUUCAAAAACGAAAUGUCAAAAAAUGUACCUUUUCCCUUCCUCCUUUCUAGAGGAUUUGAAUAUGUUUCAAAGCAAAUGUAAAGAAAGGCAGGAAGGUUUUAUGACAAAUGCAUAGGAAAACGAGAAAAUAAAAACAAAGGGUCUUAUUAGACUUUAACUUAUGGUGAUCCUAGCACAAAUACAUUCCAAAUGUUGAAUAACGUCCCUCAAUUGAGAGAGCUUUCUGGUUUGAGGAAAUGUGCAUCAAGAAAGAAAUAGACAUUUCUACUAUUGUGUUAUCCACUUUGUUGCACGUUUAUUCGAUAUUAUAGAAAUAUUAUACUAUCCUCAGAUUGUGUAGGGAGUUUAAGAUGUGUAUGAUAGCACAAACUUGUCGAAUAAAUUAUUAAAGAUAUUUCAGCACGUGCGACAGAUUAACUGGCAAUAUCGCGAGGUAUGUUGAAUAAUGUCAAAUGCGAAUAAGUUAGUUUUCAUGGCUCAAUAAAUACUUGUUUAAAUGAUAAAUUCAUUUUCUCAAUAAUUACAAUUGCAAGAAUUGUCGCUGGAAAUUUCUAGGGCAAUGGGAUAUAAAACAUGAGUAGAAAUAAUAUUUCUUAUAUAAUUUUGGUAUUUUGAGUGUAAAUCACACAAUAUUUUAAGUGCUUGAAUUCAUCACUCUAUUAUUUCAGAAGACAUUGGAAAAGCAAUUCUACCUGCACCACUUUCUAAAUUUUCAAGGACUUUCUAAGACAUAUGAGAAUAUAUUGUGUAUUGCAUAUUGGAGAUUUUCAGGCAAUCAAAUUGCUUUUUCACUUUGAGUCUCUUAUAAAAUUCUCCAUAUAAGUUAUUAAUUGUAAAAAAAUGGUUAAGUAUGAAUAACAAGAACUUAUGUCUUAAAAGAGGAAAAGAAACAACAAUGAAAAUGCUAAUGUUUAAUUCAAUACCCCGACAACAACCAGAAGUCGGGAAGUGACAAUAAACUGUGAAAAUUUAUGAAAGAAAUAAAAUCUAA